rnacentral:tRNA from 1 species
GUGGGCGUAGCUCAGUUGGUAGAGCACAAGAUUGUGACUCUUGUGGUCGUGGGUUCGAUCCCCAUCGUCCACC